AUUGAACGCUGGCGGCAGGCCUAACACAUGCAAGUCGAACGAGUGGCGGACGGGUGAGUAAUGUCUGGGAAACUGCCUGAUGGAGGGGGAUAACUACUGGAAACGGUAGCUAAUACCGCAUACCAUCAGAUGUGCCCCCAUGGGAUUAGCUAGUGUGUGGGGUAACGGCUCACCAAGGCGACGAUCCCUGGCUGGUCUGAGAGGGUGACCAGCCACACUGGAACUGAGACACGGUCCAGACUCCUACGGGAGGCAGCAGUGGGGAAUAUUGCACAAGGGGCGCAAGCCUGAUGCAGCCAUGCCGCGUGUAUGAAGAAGGCCUUCGGGUUGUAAAGGACUUUCAGCGGGGAGGCGGGAACCGAAGAAGAAGCACCGGCUAACUCCGUGCCAGCAGCCGCGGUAAGAG
rnacentral:rRNA from 1 species